rnacentral:misc_RNA from 1 species
CAGCCGCGGUAUUCCAGCUCCAAUAGCGUAUAUUAAAGUUGUUGCAGUUAAAAAGCUCGUAGUUGAAUUUCGGGAUUGACACAUCGGUCGUGCCUUAAGGGGUAUGAACUGGUGUAGUCAAUUUCUCACCUUCUGGAGAACCGCGAUGCCCUUAAUUGGGUGUCGCGGGGAACCAGGACCUUUACUUUGAAAAAAUUAGAGUGUUUAAAGCAGGCAUUUUGCUUGAAUACAUUAGCAUGGAAUAAUAAAAUAGGACGGCAUGAUUCUAUUUUGUUGGUUUCUAGGAUCACCGUAAUGAUUAAUAGGGAUAGUUGGGGGCAUUAGUAUUCAAUUGUCAGAGGUGAAAUUCUUGGAUUUAUUGAAGACUAACUACUGCGAAAGCAUUUGCCAAGGAUGUUUUCAUUAAUCAAGAACGAAAGUUAGGGGAUCGAAGACGAUCAGAUACCGUCGUAGUCUUAACCAUAAACUAUGCCGACUAGGAAUCAGACGAUGUUAAUUUUUUAAUGACUCGUUUGGCACCUUACG